AAGGAGUCUUUCCUGUUAUUACAAUGUUUUUCACAUUGCAUCCUGUAGGUACACUUGAGGAAAUGGAGAUUUGGAUUGCUGGGAGAGAGAGAAAGGAGCAGUGGCUUUCCUAAGAUGAACCAGUGGCUUGACAAGGCAGGGGAGCAGCAUUUAUUCCUUUGCUUUGCACUCCUGCACUCUGGUGGAUGCACCAUGCAACUUUCAGACCUGCAAUAGAUACUCUCAAAACCAUCAGUGGAAUCAAGAAUUCCAGAGUCUAAAAUCAUGGACAGCAUCAGUAAACUACUUGAGCUGAUCUUGAACUCUGAACUCCAACUUCAGGGCACAUUUUAUAGCAGUUAAAUGCUAAUGUCAGUUCUGUUGGGACAUUUUUGCAUCUGUGUUGAAAAAGCCUUGAUGUACCAGCACUGUUUUUCUUCUGCUGUGUUUCACCUGAGCAAGCACCUUGGUCUGUCACUGAAGGGCACUGCACAAAGUACAUGUCAGAAGACAGAGGAACUGCAAGGUGUAGGGGACAGCCAGGGAAACUUUUAUUGGUCUGUUAGACUUCUACUUUUCUUUCAUUUGUUGUCAUCCUUCUUACCAUAGUGCUGUGAGAAAGCAAUGAUAAAUUAUAAUUGUGGAAGAAAGUGGUCUAGGUAACAAUUUCAGUCUGUAAAAACAUGUACUUGUCCCAUCUCAGUGUCAUUUUUGUGAGAAUAUCUACAAUCAGGAAAUGGCCCAUCUCUACUGUCAGUCAGCUGUCUGCUGCAAGAUGCAAUUCCAGAUGUGUAUCAGAAAACAGAUGUACAAGCUACAGAAAGCCAGAUAAGACAGCAACAAUAUUCAAUGGAUAAAGAAAUCCUACUGCAUACCAUCCUCUCCAUGCAUAAAAAAAUCGCUGCUUCUUUUCCCUCCAGGAAACUCUUCAGAACAAUGACAUGCCAUUUUCUGUUGUUGCAUGAAAUCUCCUUAAUUUAUUUGCCUAAUAAAUUCCCAGUACUUAUUUGAGGACCA
rnacentral:lncRNA from 1 species